rnacentral:tRNA from 1 species
ACUUAAAUAGCUCAAAUUUUAGAGUAUAAUAUUGAAGAUAUUAAGGUGAUAAUUUAUCUUUAGGUA